GACGAACGCUGGCGGCGUGCCUAAUACAUGCAAGUAGGACGCAGUUGCGAACGGGUGAUUAACGCGUAGGUAACUACCUAUUAGAGGGGGAUAACUAUUGGAAACGAUAGCUAAUACCGCAUACUAGUAGAUGGACCUGCGUUGUAUUAGCUAGUAGGUAGGGUAAUGGCCUACCUAGGCAACGAUACAUAGCCGAGUUGGAGGGGGGAACGGGCAAAAUGGGACGUGGACACCGGCCAGACCCCCACGGGAGGGAGCAGGAGGGAAUCUUCGGCAAUGGGGGGAAACCUGACCGAGCAACGCCGCGUGAUUGAAGAAAGUUUUCGGAUCGUAAAGCUCUUUUGUUAAGGAAGCGGUACUUAACCAGAAAGGGACGGCUAACUACGUGCCAGCAGCCGCGGUAAUUC
rnacentral:rRNA from 1 species